rnacentral:rRNA from 1 species
GAUGAACGCUGGCGGCGUGCCUAAUACAUGCAAGUCGAGCGGACAGAUGAGGAGUUUGCUCCUCUGACGUUAGCGGCGGACGGGUGAGUAACACGUGGAUAACCUACCUAUAAGACUGGGAUAACUUCGGGAAACCGGAGCUAAUACCGGAUAAUAUAUUGAACCGCAUGGUUCAAUAGUGAAAGACGGUUUUGCUGUCACUUAUAGAUGGAUCCGCGCCGCAUUAGCUAGUUGGUAAGGUAACGGCUUACCAAGGCAACGAUGCGUAGCCGACCUGAGAGGGUGAUCGGCCACACUGGAACUGAGACACGGUCCAGACUCCUACGGGAGGCAGCAGUAGGGAAUCUUCCGCAAUGGGCGAAAGCCUGACGGAGCAACGCCGCGUGAGUGAUGAAGGUCUUCGGAUCGUAAAACUCUGUUAUUAGGGAAGAACAAAUGUGUAAGUAACUAUGCACGUCUUGACGGUACCUAAUCAGAAAGCCACGGCUAACUACGUG